ensembl:lncRNA
GGCGCCUGGAUCCUGGAGUUCUGACACAGAGCUCUUAGUCGUUGCACUCAAUGUCAUCCUGAAGUUUCCUGUAGUCCUGACAUCGCCAGUGCCGCUAGGGGCUUCGCUGCAGCUGUGACGGCGAUGCGUGUCAGUGUGCACAGCUCCGGGAGCCCCGCCCUGCAGCAGAGAGGCCUGAAGGGCCUCCCGGUACUGUUUGGAAACAUCCUCUGCUGUACUGUCAACAGGCCUCCAGAGCGUGGGUCAGUCUCCCUUCUGUGUCAGGGAGCAAGAAGGCUCUGAGAGAACACAGGAUCUCUUGUCCCAGGUCACUCGGUCCUGCCAAUAACCCGCUUAUCCAUCAGUGCUUCCGCCGUGGUCCCGGCCCCUCUGCCCGGAGCAGCCGUCUUGCCCCGCACAGCCCUGCGAGGUAGGUGGAGCAGUGCAGACACCCCUGAGUGUCCUAAACCCAGCUCUGGCCGCCCAGGGGGUCUGGAGGAGACAGUGGAUUCAAAGGGAGUCCCUGAGGUUUCUCUGGGGAAGCUCGGAGUGUGUUUCUGCCCAGUGCCUCGUUUGCUCCUCGCCUGCCUGGAGAGGGAGGCAGGGGUGGGGUCCUGUGGGGAAGAGACAAGGAAGGGCUGGGCGCCGGGCCGUGCGAGUUCUCACUGUGUGGCUGCAGGACGAUCGAUUUCCCUCUCAAGGCCUCCGUUCGCUCUUCUCUUCCGAAAGAGGGUGGAUUCCCUGGAGGUCCAUAAAUUCUCUUCCGAGAGGUGAGAAGAAGCCGGGCGUGGCUGCCAAGUCUCGGGCUUGUUGACCAGAGGAGGAGGACCCAGGGUGUGUGGGCCACACGGCAGGUGGAUGAGUCAUCCCCACCUGGGACAGCUGGCAGGGUGGGGCCCACGUGACCGUCAGAGUCGCUCUCCCACUGGAGGAGGCCGCCCUGCAGCUUUCUGGGCGGGGAGCAGGAGACCCCCUUCACCACCCAGCCUCUGCCUCGGUCUCUCCCCCAUAAAACAGGUGUAUUGGUCUCCCACCCACACACCUCACAAGGCUGCCGUGAGCACUAUACAAGCCUAGAAGGAGCUUGGUGAGCUGUGAAAUGGGAAGGAUCACGAGCAGAGGGGGAAGCGCGCCUUCCAGGGCCACAGCAGAAGUGAACUUCCAAGAGCAGCUGUCUGGAGAGCCAGACAACGCCCCUCCAGCUCAUGACAUCACUCUCGGUGGCCAAAAGGAGAAGGGGCCGCAUGACUCCAGGGUUUACUCAUCUGCUGUGACCCAGCUGGCUUUGUUGGGGGGAUGGGGGUGGUGACACUCGUAGGUGCUGUUCUGCUUUCUGAGAGCUCAGACGCAAGGGCCUUUGGAUGGUCUCCCGAAUGCUUCGUCUGCGAAGCCUCGGGUUCCUAGAAGGCCCGCUGGGCCCAGAGGUGGGACUUGGCUCACUUCAACCACACCCUGAGGGCCCUGCACACUCAGGGCCAGCCCUGAGGCUUCCCGGAGAGGAGGGAUCUGGAGCCUUCUAAUGCUCCCGCUUUUGAAACUGAGGCCUGACAGCUCCCAAAGCUGAAUUACCCCCACAGUGAUCUGUCACCAAGAAGAGUGCUAUGCUCUGCCAGUGCCUUUGGCAGCGGUGACACAGGGACCCGUCUCCUGCUGUCCCCACUUCUGCAGACCCUGGCCAGCUCAGGCCCAGCUGCAUACCUAUUACCUAAGAGCUUCGCUCCCCUGCCCUCUUCACUGCUGUCCCCUGGCGGCGUGCCCCGCCUCACGCCCCCCUCCCCUGACCUCCCCUUCAGCCAGGGUGGCCCCAUGACCUCCUACUUGGCAAAAUCCGGUGGCACUUCCUCAGGUCUCUGCGUACCACCUCUCUGGACACCGGAAGCGCUCUCGCCUUGUUGGCCCUGGGAGGCCACCCCACUCAGCUUAUCUCCCUCUGCCUCUGAUCUUAGAUGCGGCCCUGUUUCCCUGUGUCUGAGAUUCACCCAGAUUCUUCCCACCUUCUGGUCUUGAGUUACACAUAUAGGUUCAUUUGUUCAACCACGUGUGCAUAACAGACGCUUGAGUUGGAGAAUCAGCAAAGAACAAGAUUUUCGCAUCCCUCGUGGGCCGUACGGUCUUGGGUCUUACACUUGGCCCUUUUACAUAUAACAGAUCCAACCUUUCUUCAGCUGAGAGGGAAAUGACAGGGGUUAUGAGAGCGCAUGGUGUUAGUGGGUGUGGUGGUGUCUUGUCUGGACACAUGACUGAGGCCUCCCCAAGAAAGCCCAGGCCUGCAGAGGGGGCGGUGGGUGGCCGCGUGAGCAGGGAAGGGAAUCCCCAGGCAGAGGGAACAACACCAGCGAGGUGAUGAGGCAGGACCUUUGCAUGUGGAGUCGUUGAGGAACUGGAAGACAGGACCUUACUGCAGAAGGAACUGGAGACCAGGCAGCAUCCGGCCAUGCAGGCCUUUGGGGGUCUUGGCCAGAAUUCAGAUUUUAUCCUAAACCACCGGGGCGGCACUGGAAGUUCUAAGGCAAAGGAGAAGACUGGCCCAGGUUACAUUAUUAGCAGCAGCCCUUGCGCGAGCUGGUGCCGCGUCCCGCUCCCAUGCAUCCGGAGGGUGUAAUUUUCACCUCUUCCACAGCGUGGCGUCCUGACACUGGGCCUCAGUCGAGGCUUUGAGGCUUGGUGUUGGUCUGUCCUGAGAAAUGUGCACUUUUCGGCAUUCUCUCUGCUCCUUGCAACUUUUCAUUUACCCAGCCAACCUCGCUGAGCUUCUGUGCUGCGGAGGGGAGGUGCAUCGGACCCUGCCCCGUGCUUGGAGAUCUGGAUGGUGUGGCUGAGGCCCGGAGUGAGCCAGGGAGGACUUCCCUGCUUUGUGUCAGGCCCCGGGCUUCAGGGGCACUUGGACAUCCAGGGCAAGCGAGUCGCAUGGGCAACAGCCACCAGGAGCCCCUGUGCUCAGAGACUAGCGAGCCGUGCAGCUAACGCAGGAAGGUGGCGCUGAGGUGGGGAGUGGCCUGAGAUGUGGGGUCCUGGGCUCUCCCUCCAUCCAGGGAGACGUGGACAGGUUUUGAGCUGAGGAGUGAUUUGAACAUUGGGAUUUGAGAGCAGGUGAGAGGCGGAGGGGAGGGCAGGCGGGAGGGCAUCAUUAUAAACUGGUCGGAGAGAAUGUGUGUCACUAGGUGAAGCCUUGUCACUGCCACAGUAAAACUCUCUUCCCCUCUCUGUCCCCUGCCCUUGCUGGGUUAUGUCCCCAUCAGUCGCACUCCUGAGCCACCAGCACUGUCUCUUCAGCACCAAGUGUGGUUACAUCCUGGGCUCCAGAGGCAACAGGUCUGAGCCUGAAACAUCAUUCUGGCCCCGACUUGCUAAUCACAUCCCUUAACCCCUUGGCCUCAGUUUUCUCAUCUGUGAAAUGGGGGUGGAAAGGGAUUGUUGAGGAUUAACCUACGGGGGGCGGGGGGUGAAGUCCAAGCAUAUGCCUGGUGCUCACUGACAACCUGGUUAUCUUUAUUUCCCUGUCCCUGUUGCAGUCCACCCCCUGGGGAGUCCUCUGUGGCCACAGAUCUGCGACCAGCCCACCAGCACCUUUAUCUUAUGGCUGAGGAAUCUGGGGCCCAGAGAGAGACAGUGACUCCUCUGGGGUCACCCAACCUUUCAGUGGCAGAGCACAGACCUGUUCAUUUCUCCCUCUGGCAAUUCUUAUUUUUUAAAAAUGCUGAUAAUUUAAAAAAUUCCCAAGUCAACUGGGGAACAGGCAACAAUGAAAUGGGCAUUUGGGGGAUGGGGGGUCCCCCAGAUAUUUCCAGGGAGUAUCCUGACUAGAAGGGCCCUAAUGAAAUCAUCCAACCACCCUAGUGACAUUUGGGGAAGUUGAGGCCCAGAGAGAGGUCGUGGCUCGCUCAGGCUCCCCGGAGAGUAGGAAGCAGAGAAGGGCUCACCGGGCCCACGGCCAGUGAUCAGCAGUAGUCAGGCAGGCUCUUCUCCCUAGCCCACUGCCUCUUGG